rnacentral:tRNA from 1 species
GCCGAGGUAGCUCAAUGAUAGAGCACCCGCCUUGUAAGCGGGAGGUUGUGGGUUUGAGUCCCAUCCUCGGCU